CCUACGGGAGGCAGCAGUGGGGAAUAUUGGGCAAUGGGCGCAAGCCUGACCCAGCAACGCCGCGUGAAGGAAGAAGGCUUUCGGGUUGUAAACUUCUUUUGACAGGGAAGAGCAGAAGACGGUACCUGUCGAAUAAGCCACGGCUAACUACGUGCCAGCAGCCGCGGUAAUACGUAGGUGGCAAGCGUUGUCCGGAUUUACUGGGGGUAAAGGGCGUGUAGCCGGGCUGACAAGUCAGAUGUGAAAUCCGGGGGCUCAACCCCCGAACUGCAUUUGAAACUGUUGGUCUUGAGUAUCGGAGAGGCAGGCGGAAUUCCUAGUGUAGCGGUGAAAUGCGUAGAUAUUAGGAGGAACACCAGUGGCGAAGGCGGCUUACUGGACUGUAACUGACGUUGAGGCUCGAAAGCGUGGGGAGCAAACAGGAUUAGAUACCCCAGUAGUC
rnacentral:rRNA from 1 species